rfam:Myotis lucifugus cont2.26719, whole genome shotgun sequence.
GGGGGUUCUCGGGUGACGCACCCUGGAAUCAGGCUCCCUCCUCUCUGGUUCUGGGAUGCGACACCUGAGAACCGCC